rnacentral:rRNA from 1 species
AUGACCCUCACGGUUGUCCCGGCGCUGCUGCUCCUCCUCCUGGCGGCGUUCGCGCCCGAACUGGCGGCAGCAGCAAGCUCCUCCAGGCGCACCAUCCAUCAGCCUCCCCAUUUCCCUGCUGGACUCGCUUCUCUGUAUCGCUCCAGCGGCAGGUACGCCGUGGCGGACAACGGCACGGUGAAGCCGUUCACGGCGCACUACUUCCCGCAGGAGCUGGACCACUUCACCUUCACGCCCAACUCCUCCCGCGUCUUCUCCCAGAAGUACCUCCUCAACGACACCUUCUGGCGGCGGAAACCCACCGCCGGCCCGCUGUUCGUGUACACGGGCAACGAGGGCGACAUCGAGUGGUUCACCACCAACACCGGCUUCAUGUUCGACAUCGCACCGGAGUUCGGCGCCCUACUCGUCUUCAUCGAGCAUCGGUUCUACGGGGAGUCACAGCCGUUCGGGAACGACUCGGACAAGUCGGCCGACACCCUGGGCUACCUGACAUCCACGCAGGCGCUCGCCGACUUUGCCAUCCUCAUCACCAGCCUCAAGCAGAACCUCUCCGCCGUCGAUGCCCCCGUCAUCGUCUUCGGUGGCUCCUACGGAGGCAUGCUGGCAUCAUGGUUCAGGCUCAAGUACCCUCAUGUCGCCAUGGGGGCCUUGGCGUCCUCUGCACCAAUCCUGCAGUUCGAUGACAUCACCCCGUGGUCAGGCUUCAAAGACACUGUCACGCAGGACUUCAAGUCCGAGAGCCUGAAUUGCUUUAGUGUCAUCAAGGCGGUCUGGGAUGUGUUAGAUGACAGGGGAUCAAACGAGACAGGGCUCUUGGAGCUAAGCAAAACCUUCAGAACCUGCAAGACCGUGCAAUCCACUGAUUCGCUGACAAACUUUCUAUAUACGGCAUUCAUCUACACGGCCAUGACGGACUAUCCAACUCCAGCCAAUUUCCUGCAAAAUCUGCCUGCUUACCCUGUCAAAGAGAUGUGCAAGAUCAUUGAUUCUUUUCCCGCGGGAGCAGACGUCGUCGAAAAAGCUUUCGCAGCGGCAAGCCUGUACUACAAUUACACAGGCGACCAGAAGUGCUUCCAAGUGGAAGGUGGGGAUGACCCCCAUGGCCUCAGCGGCUGGGACUGGCAGGCCUGCACAGAGAUGGUCAUGCCAACGACUGUGUCGAAUGAGAGCAUGUUUCCACCAUUCAACUUCAGCUACGAGGAGAGGUCCGAGAGGUGCCUUGCCAGCUAUGGAGUUCGUCCGAGGAUGCACUGGAUCACUACUGAAUAUGGUGGCCAUAAAAUUGACAAAGUUCUCAAGAGGUUUGGGAGCAACAUUAUCUUCUCCAACGGGAUGCGAGACCCGUGGAGUCGAGGCGGGGUGCUCAAGAACAUAUCAUCCAGCAUCAUUGCUCUUGUCACAGAGAAAGGGGCCCAUCAUUUGGACUUCAGAUCUGCAACCAAGGAUGACCCAGACUGGGUUGUAGAACAAAGGAGACAGGAAGUUGAGAUCAUACAUGGAUGGAUAGAUCAGUAUAACAAGGACAUUGCACAGAUGUAG